UAGGGAAUCUUCGGCAAUGGGGGGAACCCUGACCGAGCAACGCCGCGUGAGUGAAGAAGGUUUUCGGAUCGUAAAGCUCUGUUGUUAAGGAAGAACGAGUGUGAGAAUGGAAAGUUCAUGCUGUGACGGUACUUAACCAGAAAGGGACGGCUAACUACGUGCCAGCAGCCGCGGUAAUACGUAGGUGGCAAGCGUUGUCCGGAUUUAUUGGGCGUAAAGCGAGCGCAGGCGGUCAAUUAAGUCUGAUGUGAAAGCCCCCGGCUCAACCGGGGAGGGUCAUUGGAAACUGGUUGACUUGAGUGCGGAAGAGGAGAGUGGAAUUCCAUGUGUAGCGGUGAAAUGCGUAGAGAUAUGGAGGAACACCAGUGGCGAAGGCGACUCUCUGGUCUGUAACUGACGCUGAGGCUCGAAAGCGUGGGUAGCAAACAGG
rnacentral:rRNA from 1 species